rfam:Ictidomys tridecemlineatus contig058869, whole genome shotgun sequence.
GGGGUUGUAGCUCAGUGGUAGAGUGCUUGCCUCACAUGUUUGAGGCACUGGGUUCGAUCCUCAGCACCA